rnacentral:misc_RNA from 1 species
UUUUUUCAGUACGAAAACAUGUUAUUUAUUUAACAAAUUUAAAUAAAUGUAUUAUAAGAGAAGAAAUAUAAACUCUUAAAACAUUAAAUAAUUUCUCGUUCCAUCAAUCAGAACCCUACCUGGAGUAGCAUAGUGUCUGAAAACCCAAAUCUCCAAUGCACUUACUCCGCUGGAUGGUCUAAAGGUAAGGGUUUUUCAAAUUUAUUCUCCAACUAAAUUUCCCAGGAAUUCAGGCUCAGGGGGAAAAAAUAAAUAAUACAGUAGCUAGUUUUCUUCCAAAUAAAUAAAUAAAAAGAAUUUU